GGGCCUUUGAACAAGGCCCUUAAAUCCUCCAUGGCUCAGUUAUAUUUAAAAAGAAAAUGAGAAAUGUCACUCUGGAUAAGAGCAUCUGCCAAAUAAAAUGUAAGUAUCUCAAUUAUCAAAAAAUGACAAACCAGUGGUCUGUAAUAAAUAAUUCAUAUUAGAUGUGUAAACAGGCAAGGUGGUGUCCCUAUAACCGAUAGCUUUAACUUUAAUAGUCUUUCUUUUUAAUAAUCUGUCGUCACUCAUGAAUUAAUAGUAGCCCUACCCUUUGAGAAUAAUUGCCGUGCUCUCUUAUUUUCCCUCACAUUAACAGUUUCCCUUUUAUAAAUAACCACUUAAUUUACUGAGUGAACCAACAUCCAACAAGAUUUCAAAUUGAUUGUUUACCUACAGAUGUGUGACAAAGGGAGGGGGGACAAAAAUAAAACAUGAAAAAUCAUAGUAUGUCCAAGACAAAUAAAACAAAACAGCUUUCAUGCUCUUGGGCAGUUGAUAAACUCCUGGAACUGUACUGGAGCAAGGAACUCAGUUCUUCUUAAAGAUUGUCAUUCAGUAGGUGUUUUACUGAAGGGGUGAAAAAGCCCUGGACUGAAUUUGGCUAGAAAUGGUAUAGGAAAGACAUAAUUGUAGGCAAGCCUCAAAAACUGUGUUCAACACCACUACCAUUAACUACCCAUGAAUAGCAAACAAUAUCAUGGUAGCUAGUUUAAUAUCAUGCUUUAUGUAAGUCAAUUGUUUAUGAUUGAGAAAUUAUGGAGAGCUGUGUGUGAGAGGGAAGACAGGGGCAGGAUAACAUUGGUCUCACAGGUUUGAGUCACACACUAAGAAUAAAUCAGUCAUUUCUCACCGUUCACUGGAAAGUGAAAGUAGUGCGGUAGUGUUUAAAAUUACAUCACUAUUAGUGUUGCGUGAUUCUUCAAAACAUAUUUAUUCUAUCAUUGCCUCAGACAAAUUACAAAUGGCAGGCAUAACAUGUUUUGAUAUGAAUUUUCAGGGGUGCCCUGAAAGCUGUUGCUAAGUCCAUGAAAACGUCAACACUCAGAAUACAUAACUAAUGCUCUACGAGGAAUCCACCUGAGGAGCACAAGCCUUCAACUAAAAGCACACAGGCAAUCUCACCCUGAGUCUGGUGCAAGCAGAACUAAAAUACCAUCAGUUAAAAUGUUAGCCAAUCAAUGGGAAAGGCGAGAGGUCAGGGGAGGAGGCAAAUCCUGCGUAAGGAAAAGUCACGCUCUCUUUCGGCUGCAGGCGAGACACGGAGAAGAUCACACUGGAGAACUGUAAAGUGAUUAAUGCUACUUUUCGUGCUUAAGUAAUACUUAAUGGUUUUCAGACCGAUAACCUAUUCACUACUUUGCAUGCGGAAGAAGUUGGUAUCACAUAGAGACAUUUUCAAAAUGAAUUUGUCGGAAUAGCUCAGCUAAUAGUAUUGCCUGAAAAGUUAGCAACUCGGUAGCUGGGACUGUGUUAGGCUAACUGACUUCGUCAACCAAUGAGUUGCCUCUGAGGAACAAGACUGUGGGACUAACCGGAGGAAGACGGCCUGCUGUUUGAACUGAUACGCGAACUACAGCAUCGCGUGAGCAACUGCACACACCGAGAGCGCACGAGCAGGGCUGCAGUGACGGUGCAUGGACCCUCUCUGGGCACGGACAUCCCCAUCAACCUUGUGAGUGAAUUUGUUUGGUUUUGUUGUGCGAUUCGCAUGAAGUGGCCAAUACAGUUUUAAGGCCUCAACGUCCCCAAGCUACGAUUUAGGCCUGCAUCAGGAACAUUGGUGUAUGUGGGGUUUAUAGAAAUUCUGGUGUGCCGGCUUAGGUAGGCUAUUGUUUUGGGCCCAUAGGUUAAAGGGUAUAACUGAAAACUGCUUGUUUUAUGCAUAUACAUGGGGUUAUAUGUAACCUGUUGGUUUAGUAAUGGUAUUGAUUUAAAAACCUCAGAAAAAGGAUACGUUAUACAUUUUACAUAUACAUUUUAGCCUGUGUUGUAUUUGCAAUUGUUUGAUAUCCAUGAGAGCAGAGUAUUUUUCUGAUUUUUUUUAAACAAAAGAUCAAACAGUUAAACAAUAAAGACAAUUUUUCACAGCCUUCUUUGCUCAUAUUUACCAACGGUGCCAAUGUCAGUGGAGGGCACUGUAUAAAAUAUUUGGUGUAAUCAGACUUUGAUAGAAUUGUGUAUUCGUUCAUGGGUGCAUGCUUGCAAAAGCAAGUGUGUGAGUUUUAAUAUCAGCUGUAGAUUGCCAUUUGUAUUACGGCUCAACCUUUAAGAAAAAUAUGUGACUAAUGACAAUGAACAGUUUACAAAUACAAAAGUAACACACAAACUCUGUACAACGGACAAAGCCCUUUUAACUGUAAUAUAAAGUUUCUACAGCUUAUUGAUGUUUUUUCUUUAGCGUUCUUUCUUUCUUGAUUAAGAAAUUACUCUAUAGGUAACAUUUAGCCCAGUGGUGCUCUUUAACACUUGCUGUGUGCUCUUUAACACUUCAUUUAAUGUGUUGCAUGAAACCGCUGACAGCAGAAUGUGCUAAAGCGGAACAGAAAUGCAGAAGGACAGAACAUCUAACCCCAGUUUGUAUAAUAUCUAAUGUCUAACUAUUUGAAAGCUUUUAGGUUAAUAUUAGCUGAAAUCCUCUUAUUGAUCAUUAUUUGCAACCACAUACCAUGGUAAAUCAGUGACUGUGGAUCUCACAUGAAGUCACAUGAUCUACAGCUAUCAUCAG
ensembl:lncRNA